rfam:Camelus ferus unplaced genomic scaffold scaffold142, whole genome shotgun sequence.
GAGGGUAUAGCUCAAGUGGUAAAGCAUGUGAUUAGCAUGCACGAGGUCCUGGGUUCAAUCCCCAGUACCUCCA